rnacentral:rRNA from 1 species
CGCGAGCUGGGUUUAGAACGUCGUGAGACAGUUCGGUCCCUAUCUGCCGUGGGCGUUGGAGAAUUGAAAGGGGCUGCUCCUAGUACGAGAGGACCGGAGUGGACGAACCUCUGGUGUUCGGGUUGUGUCGCCAGACGCAUUGCCCGGUAGCUAAGUUCGGAAUCGAUAACCGCUGAAAGCAUCUAAGCGGGAAGCGAGCCCUGAGAUGAGUCUUCCCUGAUACUUUAAGUAUCCUAAAGGGUUGUCGGAGACUACGACGUUGAUAGGUCAGGUGUGUAAGUGCUGUGAGGCAUUGAGCUAACUGAUACUAAUUGCCCGUGAGGCUUAACCAU